AGCGGUGGAAACGAGCCGAGCUCGAGCGAGCUUAUCUCAGCUCAAGCUUGGCUUGAAAUUAAUUUCGAGCCUACAUUUAGGCUCAAGCUCGGCUUGAAAUUAAUUCGAGCCGAGCUCGAGCGAGCCUAAUUUCGAGUCGAGCGAGCUCGAGCCCUAAACGAGCUGCUUGAAAUUCUUAACAUCGUACAAUCUAUAGUUUAAUUUUUAUAAAAUAUUAUCUAAAAUUUGAUACAAAAAAUGUCUAAUAGCUCAGCAUACAAAAUGAAUGCAUGAAAUACGAUAUUAUAAUAUUAAAAAAAUUAGCAAAAACAACUCUAUGAACGAGUGAAAAAGAGAAA
rnacentral:lncRNA from 1 species